rnacentral:rRNA from 1 species
UACGUAGGGUGCAAGCGUUGUCCGAAAUUAUUGGGCGUAAAGAGCUCGUAGGCGGUUUGUCGCGUCGGCUGUGAAAUCCUGAGGCUCAACCUCAGGCCUGCAGUCGAUACGGGCAGACUUGAGUGUUGCAGGGGAGACUGGAAUUCCUGGUGUAGCGGUGAAAUGCGCAGAUAUCAGGAGGAACACCGAUGGCGAAGGCAGGUCUCUGGGCAUUAACUGACGCUGAGGAGCGAAAGCAUGGGGAGCGAACAGG